rnacentral:rRNA from 1 species
AUGGGAGAAGUGGCCUACAAGUUAGAAUUACCCGAAGGAUUGUCAGAAGUUCAUGUUGUGUUCCACGUUUCUCAGUUGAAGAAGUGCCACGCGAAGAUGGCUGACAUACCUUUGAGAGACACAGUGCCAUUGGAAACUAUUCAGUUGGAUAACGAUUUGACGUACGAGGAGAAACCAAUUAAGAUUCUCGAGUUUGCCAGUCGAGUCACUCGCAACAAAGUUAUCAAGUUUUGUAAAGUUCAGUGGAGCCACCACACGGAGGAUGAAGCCACCUGGGAACGAGAGGAAGAUUUUCUCAAGGACCACCCUCACCUAUUUUCUAGCCAACCCGAAUCUCGAGGGCGAGAUUCAUCUUAA